GACGAACGCUGGCGGCGUGCUUAACACAUGCAAGUCGAACGAAGAGCGAUGGAAGCUUGCUUCUAUCAAUCUUAGUGGCGAACGGGUGAGUAACGCGUAAUCAACCUGCCCUUCAGAGGGGGACAACAGUUGGAAACGACUGCUACUACCGCAUACGCUCGGACCUCGGCAUGGGGGAGGAAGGAAAGGGGGCCGCUAUUUAAAACCUAUCAUUGAAGGAGGUGGUUGCGUCUGAUUAGCUAGUUGGCGGGGUAAGGGCCCACCAAGGCAAUGUUAAGUAGCCGGUCUGAGAGGAUGAACGGCCACAUUGGGACUGAGACACGGCCCAGAGUCCCACGGGAGGCAGCAGUGGGGAAACGUCCGCAAUGGACGAAAGUCUGACGGAGCAACGCCGAGUGAGGGAGGACGGCCUUCGGGUUGUAAAGCUCGGUUAAUCGGGACGAAAGGUCUUCUUGCGAAUAGUUAGAAGAAUUGACGGUACCGGAAUAGAAAGCAACGGCUAACUACGUG
rnacentral:rRNA from 1 species